rnacentral:rRNA from 1 species
AUUGAACGCUGGCGGCAUGCCUAAUACAUGCAAGUCGAGCGGAGCUGCGGACGGGUGAGUAAUGCCUAGGAAUACGCCUGGUAGUGGGGGAUAACGUCGGGAAACGGGAGCUAAUACCGCAUACUAACAGAUGACUCUAGGUCGGAUUAGCUAGUUGGUGGGGUAAAGGCCUACCAAGGCGACGAUCCGUAACUGGUCUGAGAGGAUGAUCAGUCACACUGGAACUGAGACCCGGUCCAGACUCCUACGGGAGGCAGCAGUGGGGAAUAUUGGCCAAUGGGCGAAAGCCUGAUCCAGCAAUGCCGCGUGUGUGAAGAAGGUCUUCGGAUUGUAAAGCACUUUAAGUUGGGAGGCGUUACCAACAGAGUAAGCACCGGCUAACUUCGUGCCAGCAGCCGCGGUAAUAC